AGAGUUUGAUCCUGGCUCAGAACAAACGCUGGCGGCGUGCCUAACACAUGCAAGUCGUACGAGAAAGGGUCCUUCGGGAUCUGAGUAAAGUGGCGCACGGGUGAGUAACGCGUGGAUAAUCUGCCCUUCAGUUGGGAACAACUCAUCGAAAGGUGGGCUAAUACCGAAUAAUACUGUAAGACUUUGGUCGAACAGUCAAAGAGAGCCUCUGCUUGCAAGCCCUCGCUGAAGGAUGAGUCCGCGUACCAUUAGCUAGUUGGCAGGGUAAUGGCCUACCAAGGCGACGAUGGUUAGCUGGUCUGAGAGGAUGAUCAGCCACACUGGAACUGAGAUACGGUCCAGACUCCUACGGGAGGCAGCAGUGAGGAAUCUUGCGCAAUGGGGGAAACCCUGACGCAGCAACGCCGCGUGAGUGAGGAAGGUCUUCGGAUCGUAAAGCUCUGUCAGUUGGGAAGAAAUGCCCGAGGGUUAAUACCCUUCAGGCUUGACGGUACCAACAGAGGAAGCACCGGCUAACUCCGUGCCAGCAGCCGCGGUAAUACGGGGGGUGCAAGCGUUGUUCGGAAUUAUUGGGCGUAAAGAGCGUGUAGGCGGCCUUCUAAGUCAGAUGUGAAAGCCCUGGGCUUAACCCAGGAAGUGCAUUUGAAACUGUCAGGCUUGAGUAGGGGAGAGGGAAGUGGAAUUCCUGGUGUAGAGGUGAAAUUCGUAGAUAUCAGGAGGAACACCGGUGGCGAAGGCGACUUCCUGGCCCUAUACUGACGCUGAGACGCGAGAGCGUGGGUAGCAAACAGGAUUAGAUACCCUGGUAGUC
rnacentral:rRNA from 1 species